rnacentral:rRNA from 1 species
UACGAGGGGGGCGAGCGUUGUUCGGAAUUAUUGGGCGUAAAGGGUGCGUAGGCGGUUUUGUAAGUCUUAUGUGAAAUCUAUGGGCUCAACUCAUAGACUGCAUGAGAAACUGCAGGGCUUGAGUAUGGGAGAGGUGAGUGGAAUUCCUGGUGUAGCGGUGAAAUGCGUAGAUAUCAGGAGGAACACCGGUGGUGUAAACGGCUUUCUGGACCAUAACUGACGCUGAGGCACGAAAGCGUGGGUAGCAAACAGG